UACGAAGGGGGCUAGCGUUGUUCGGAAUUACUGGGCGUAAAGCGCACGUAGGCGGAUAUUUAAGUCAGGGGUGAAAUCCCAGAGCUCAACUCUGGAACUGCCUUUGAUACUGGGUAUCUUGAGUAUGGAAGAGGUAAGUGGAAUUGCGAGUGUAGAGGUGAAAUCGUAGAUAUUCGCAGGAACACCAGUGGCGAAGGCGGCUUACUGGUCCAUAACUGACGCUGAGG
rnacentral:rRNA from 1 species